AUGUUUUCAUGUGUGAUGGGCGACUAAGGGGAACUGUGGACGCUGUUUGUCAGGGAGUGGCAGGAUGAUACUGCAUUAGCCACUGGCUGCAGCCCAAGAAACUCCACACCGAAAUCAAUUUGGGCACUUGAAAAAAACAGAAUGCCCUGCCACCAUCCUUGCCUACACUUCGUCUGCCAAGCGUACGGAGACAUGCAUCUUCAGCCAUUAUGCACCACAUAUUCUGUGAAUAUUAAAAAGAGACAUUGAUUCUGGAGCAACCUGUUGCUUUGGCUCAAUGGACUUCAUAAAGAGAAGAUGCCAUAUUUCAAGGGGAAAUGAAGCAGUCAAUCAAGUUUACAUGAUUUACAAGAUG